AUAUAUAUGAAGGAGGAGUUUUGGGCUACCACUUAGAAAGAAAAUGCCUCAUUCGUCAACUCCCUCGACCGGAGACUUGGGGGACUCCUACCAUAUGCUACUGCACCUUGAUACUCAGAAGUCUCACGAUCACUCAGUGACUUGGAUUUUUCAAGUCUCUAACCGAGAAGUUUUCCUCACUCGGGAAAUUAAGGGAGCACUACCUUAAUAUACAUGCUUCACUCACAAAGUUUCAACAUACAAGCUUCAACAAAAGAAAAAUUUAAAGAACUUAGUGAAGAAGACUUUGGUGUAUUUAACACAAUACAUUGAAAUGAAGCAAAGCUUAUUUAUUGAUAUCUCUGAUAAGUUACAAAUAUGUACAUAUACAUGAAUCAAAAUAAACAAACAAGAGGGAGCCUUCACAAAGGUUGCUCAGGAGAAGUUUCAGCAGUCGGCAGAGCCCCAGAAAGAGGAGGCACCAGAGGGUGAUCAUUCGGAGCCUCAGUACUGGGC
rnacentral:lncRNA from 1 species